UUGGCCAUUAGGAACUCUGAGCUGAUAUGGUCACUUUCCCUCAAGGCUCCUGUCACUUACACUUUGCCAACUGGUUCCUCUUUGCUGGUAAUAAUUAGGGCUGGAGAAGCAGGUCUCCUGGGAGGUGGGAUAGUGAGAAAGAGAAGCCAAGAGCUUUUUCAAUUCUCUGUUCUUAAAUGAGAUGUGAAGCAGGUUAAGCUUCUGUCACUUCUAGAGCUGGUCUGAACUGGCCCCUGCCUGAGCUCUGUUGCAGUCCCUAAAGUCCUGUCUUAAUUUCAGCCAAACCACAGUACCUGCUCUCAGACUUCCUGAAAGCUAUCACAACCUGUCCACCCAUGUGCUCAAAUCAUAGGAACUCCCAAUAUUGCUUCUUUACAGCCCGUAGUCAUUAUGAGAACCCAGACCAGUUCCAAACAUCAACCACCUAACCACCAUAUCCUUAACCAUUUCAUUCAGGCUUACUAAUCCCUGGUGGACAGAGAAUAUGAUAUACCCCCACUCCCCAAGACAUCCAUGGCCUAAUCCCUGGAAUCUAUGCAUGUUACCUAACAUAGCAAAAAGGGACUUUAUAGAGUGAUUAAAUUAAGGAUCUUGAGACCAGGAGAUAAUCCUGGAUUAUCCAGAUAGGCCCAAUGUCAUCACAAGGGUCUUUAUAAAGGGAGGCAGGAGGAUCACAUUCAGAGAAGGUGAUGUGAUAAUGGGAGCAGAGGCUGGAAUGCUGGCAUUGUUGGCAGAGCCUCAAGCCAAGGAAUGUGAGCAGCCUCUAGAAGCUGGAAGAAGCAAAGGAAGGAUACUUUCCUGGAGCUUCCAGAAAUAGCAGAGUCUGGCUGACACCUUGAUUUUAGUCCUUUAGAAUCACUGAAGCUCAGGUGGGAACUGGAGCCCAUCUUGUCAGACCAGACUAAGGAUCAGGGAGGCAGAGGAGACACUGGCCUGGAACUGGAGCUGUCAGAGCGGAACAGCUCCCACCCUUGAAUCAAACCAGUGGUGAUGUCCUUCUGCAGAAUGCAGAGAGCUUUUCUCCAGGCCCGUAAAAUCCAGCAUCAACUCCAAAAAGGGCUCUUACCAUGGAGAGGGUUCAGUGCUUGAGUCUUCUUGCUAGAUGGGAUGUAUGAGGUCUUCACCUGGGGACCAAGAAGAUAUCUGUCCCCACCAGGAGGAAGUCCCUCCCUGAGAUCAGCUUAAACCAAUUGCUGCCAAGCCCUGAAGACUCCAUCAUUACUUCCAUAUUAGACCUGCAAAUUACACCCAGACUUGCAGGCCCAAUACCUUGGACAUUCAUGAUGUCUUAUCCUUAUUUUCGAAAUCAUGUCUAAUUCUGGCAACAGGGAAAAAAAAUUAAAAAAGUUAUCCACAA